AGAGUUUGAUCCUGGCUCAGAUUGAACGCUGGCGGCAUGCCUUACACAUGCAAGUCGAACGGUAGAGUAGCAAUACUCGAGAGUGGCGAACGGGUGAGUAAUAUAUCGGAACGUGCCCAGUCGUGGGGGAUAACGUAGAGAAAUUUACGCUAAUACCGCAUACGAUCUAAGGAUGAAAGCGGGGGAUUCGCAAGAACCUCGCGCGAUUGGAGCGGCUGAUAUCAGAUUAGGUUGUUGGUGAGGUAAAAGCUCACCAAGCCGACGAUCUGUAGCUGGUUUGAGAGAACGACCAGCCACACUGGGACUGAGACACGGCCCAGACUCCUACGGGAGGCAGCAGUGGGGAAUUUUGGACAAUGGGCGAAAGCCUGAUCCAGCAAUGCCGCGUGCAGGAAGAAGGCCUUCGGGUUGUAAACUGCUUUUGUACGGAACGAAAAGGCUCUUUCUAAUAAAGAGGGCCCAUGACGGUACCGCAAGAAUAAGCACCGGCUAACUACGUGCCAGCAGCCGCGAUAAUACGUAGGGUGCGAGCGUUAAUCGGAAUUACUGGGCGUAAAGCGUGCGCAGGCGGUUCUAUAAGACAGAUGUGAAAUCCCCGGGCUCAACCUGGGAAUGGCAUUUGUGACUGUAGAGCUAGAGUACGGUAGAGGGGGAUGGAAUUCCGCGUGUAGCAG
rnacentral:rRNA from 1 species